UACGAAGGGGACUAGCGUUGUUCGGAAUCACUGGGCGUAAAGCGCACGUAGGCGGAUUCGUAAGUCAGGGGUGAAAUCCCGGGGCUCAACCUCGGAACUGCCUUUGAUACUGCGGGUCUUGAGUCCGAUAGAGGUGGGUGGAAUUCCUAGUGUAGAGGUGAAAUUCGUAGAGAUCGGGAAGAACACCAGUGGCGAAGGCGGUCUGCUGGGCCGUUGCUGACGCUGAGGCGCGACAGCGUGGGGAGCAAACAGG
rnacentral:rRNA from 1 species